rnacentral:lncRNA from 1 species
CGCGCCCGCGUCCGGUGGGAACUGCCGGUCUACGCGGCCGGCAGAUCUGGGCGGGUGCGGACCUGGCCACGCACAACUUGUGGUUUCGAGGGAUGGGGUCGCUAAGUCUCUCAGGCUGUUCUGGACCUCGCGAUCCUCCUGCCUCAGCCUCUUGAGUAGCCGCUCAGGCCUGCCCUUGUCUGUCUGCUCUCCCAGCCGCGGGGAGUCGGCGGUCCUGGCAGCACGAGCCCCUCCUGCCCUCACCGGCCCCAGUGAUUCUGAGAGGCCCACCCGCCCUCUCCUCAGCCUUCCUGGAUACAGUGCCUGGUGACAAGGACAUGCUCGGGGCCCACCGGGAAUCGGGGAACCAGGCGACGUGGUGCCUGGCAUCCAGGGCAUUUGGGGUGCAACCUGUUCCAGGCAGGCAUCUCUUGUACUCUUCAGAUGAGGAACCUGGGUCUGAGAGGGGCCCUAAACCAGGGCCUCUGCGGGUCAGGCUGGAGCUCUGCCUCCCCCCACACCCAGCCCCGACGCCCAGCUCCUUAAGCCUGGGCACAGUGGACUGGCUUAGAUGGCAUGGCCAGGCCGGGCACUCUGUCAGAGCUCAUUCCAGCGGGGGUUCUGUGCAGGGGGCAGGGGUUGCCACGCUUUCUGCUGGGCGAGGUCUGCCCUGACCAGCUGUGACCCCACCGCAGGCCACUGGGGAUGCUGUUCCGCCCACACUCUGGCUGCACCCUGGAGAGCAGCUAUUUUUACUGAUCAUCUCUCCCAAAGUGGGCAGGGAAAAGUGGGAAACCAGUGGGACCUUCCCCAGGUGCGGCCUGUUUCCCUGGCACCUGCCCUCCUCUGCACCCUAACCACGGGCCUUCAUCCCCGAGCUCUUCUGGCUCCACCUCUGCGAUCAGAACUGAGCCCGGAGAACCCGGGCCAGAGAGGGGCUGGUCCAGCCCUGGCGUGGCUGCUGUCUGGGUGCAGCUGGGCUCCAGGCCCUGGGACUCCCCAC